rnacentral:lncRNA from 1 species
UAGUCUACUGGGUUCAACCAUGUCGGCUGGUCACUUGCAGGAGAAUGUGGCAAGCCAGAUGAGGGCUGAGAGAAGUAAGGAAGUGAGUAUUUUCCCAGGAUCCAAAGCCUGAGCCAGAGUCGACUAUCCUGUGAAAAGCUGAGUUAGCACAUCAGCCCAUGUGAUGUUCCACUUCCGCUUUCCUAUCCAGCCUCUCUUCAUCGCACCAGGGAAUGGCUGAGCCCCCUCACCAACACCCUGGGAGCCUGCAUUAUCAAUGCUGGAUUUAUACUUGGCCCUGCACCGUGUGACAGCCAGAACUGCUCAUUUGGAGUAAAAGCCAGGAAAAAAAAAAUAAGCAAACAGCUCCGCAUCGUGUCAUUACUGAGUCGCAGACACCUUCACCCUGCCCUCCCCCACAUCUACUUUCUCACACAGGUCAUCAUCUCUCCUGAUACCCAGUAAUUUCAGUCAUUUUCUACCUGCAUUUCUGUUCAUCUCCAGAGAAUCCUCAUUUACUAAUGCAGGAAGGUCUUUUCUGAGCCUGGGUGUUACGGAGUCGCUUGUCCUGGGAGACGAUGGGGUGGUAGGGGCAGGUAGAGCUAUGGCAGCUCAUUUGCUACCCCAUUCCAGCAGCAGAGAGUAAGCAGAAGAGACAGCCUGAGAGAAAGAGAUCUAAUUACUUCCUUCCCUUAGAGCCUGGGUCAUUCCUAGCCUUCUCAGGGCAGGGCUCCUGUCACUGAGCCAGCAAAGAGCCUAGUGGGUAAGAAUAAGAUGCCUUAGGCUCAGGCAGGAUGCAUACAAGUUCAAGGACAGCCUGGACACCCUAGUGGUACCCUGUGGAGUCAGGUGGAAGGAUACAGCUCAGUAACAAAAUGCUUUCCUAUCGCAUGUAAGACCUGUGAUUCACUCCCCAGCAGGACAAGCAGCAGCAAGAAUGAAAGAUUAAAUCAACCUGCACUAAAGCACGGGUCCUUGGACAGGAGACCAACAGCCACACAGGCCUCUGCAACACUGUGAAUCACCUUCCCCUGUGGUGUGAGCCCAUGCACAGAAGUCCUCUCAGUGUCCCUUAAAUUCCUCACAAAAGAAUUGCAUACAUGAUAGAUUAAAAAAAAAAUCGAAUCACAGCAAAGGCUCACUUCUGAAAUCCCCUGUCCUGGCUGUGCGCCCUCUGCCCAGCCUCUUCUCCAGGCAACUGCUUGGCCCUUCUGGAGCUGCUUUUCUGAACUGUAUGUGCUUAAGCAGCAGUUUCAUGAUUUACCGUUUGAGAAUCAGCUCUUUACUCUGUGUGAUGGAGCAUGAAGGCUUAGC